UGAAUUGUCCAAUUUCAUGGACCAAUCGAUAUCGGAUUGAGUCCAAAACUUGGGGAACAACAUAAUACGGUGGGAGGAGUCAUUUGGUGGGUUUUGAGUGAAAUCCAAUCUCUACAACUAUGGAAUACACCAACCACUCCAUUUCAUAACAAACUUCGUACGAACCUGAAUUGUCCAAUUUCAUGGACCAGUCGACAUCGGAAUC
rnacentral:lncRNA from 1 species